rnacentral:sRNA from 1 species
UAUAAGAUUCGGCCCGGCCGAACUUAGCUCGCUCUUACUUGUUUUGUUUUGAAAAGGGACACACAAAUGCCGUGCAGGUGGAUAAAUCCGCCAUGACCGAACAUAACCUUGAAUAAUGCGCACACAAACCCACGAUGAAGACUCCUAAUAUUAACCGCGCAGAGGUUAGCAUGUCCGUCUAUGACGCUGAACGCCUGGGUUCGAAUCCUUGCAAGAACAUCAUAGAAAAAUAUCAGCUGUGCUUAUCCCAUCCUAAUGGCUGGUACUAUGUUUAUUUAUCACAGUUGAGAACACAUGUUUUACGCGAUUACUUUUGAAACACUACAAAAAUCUCAAUGAUAACACAAUACUUUUAUUUAAAUAGUUUCAUAACAUAUGGGCGAUGUCCUGCUGAAUGAAAUCAACAAGUUUUUUAUCUCAAAAUCUAAAAUCUAAGAAAAGUAAUCCGGAAAAAGUACCAGGCUGACGACAUUUGUGAGGUACUCUGCCAUGUAAAAACUUCUCCCCUAAGAGGUGUCGCACUGUAGCCGCUGUUCGGUCUAAAACUGGAGCCACUUUCUUUACACGCACUUUUAACCUUUUCCACCACAUAAGUGAUGUGAAUAAAAAACAACUUUUAAAAUUUUGUAAUGUUUUUAUUAUUUUUUUAUGUUUUUUUUCUUAAUUUUCCAAUUUUCUUGUUAUACAAUAAUUUAAAUAAUAAAAAAAAACAGUGGUAGGGUCUUCACAGUAUUUUCUAAAAAAUUUAAAUAAACAAGCAAAAAAUUUGUAAUUUCUUUCCGAAUAAAAAUACAAAACAAAUAGAAAUAUUUUACAUACGUUCGAAGAUAUAUAUUGUUUUUGUUGUUUUUAGGAGAAAGCAUCUUAUUUUUGGAUGAUUUGGUAAGAAUAAAUAUACGCAUGAUUCGUUUUUCUUCUGGAUUUGUUUUAAAUCAUAUUAAAAAUAGUUAAAAAAAAAAAAUAAUCAUUGAUUUAAAAAGAAUUGCAGACAGAGAAAGUAGGGGCAAGAAGAACUUAAGUAAAAAUCUACAAAAAGAAUGGAAGAAAUAAAAGCGAAGGGGUUUAAAUACUCCAAACUGUGCCAAAUUAAGUGUAAUUUAGGGGAAAGAAUGAAGUUUUGCACGACGAGGUUUAAAAGAAUUGUAGCAAAGCUGGGUCCUAAUAGAGUAAUAAAUAGAAUACAAUAGGUAAAAAAGAUAGAUAAGAUUAGAGAAAAUUAGUAAAUUUACAAUAGAGUUAGUUUGAAAAAGUUGCAUAAAGUUAAUAUAAUUUUGAAUCGUUUUCUUAUUUUUUUAUAAAAUCAUUUGAUUAGUUCUGUUGGUUUUUAGUUGUUAUUGUAGUUUUGUUUUUUUUUUUUUUUAAUGUUUCUGCAAUAGUAAUUAGAAAUUGGUUAGUUGUAAAUUUUGUUUAUAUUAUAUCAUUAU